rnacentral:lncRNA from 13 species
CUUUUCCUCUACCCCAGAUGAAAACUCAUCAAGCCAAUGACUUGUCUUUGCUCACUUUUAGCUUAGAGAUAGUCUUCACUGAGGCACAGAGCAUGUUCUCUUAGUUAGAAAAGUGUCUUACUCAAAACACUAACCCACACUUCGUUCUCCGUUAUCCUCCUUGAUAAAGCCUACAGGUGGGCAGCUAGCCUUCAGGGAGGGACAGCCACUUCCAGUCUCUUCCUCCACCAGUCUCCUCCCCAUUCACUAGCUGCUGUUUGGGAGCCUGCCAGGGUUUGAAGGAGGUGGGCAGGGUGCGGAUUAAAGGGGAGAGGUGAAGGAUAGGGUGGUUCUUACCUGAAUGGAUGCGCUGGUGAAAGUGGACUCUGAUGGGCAUCUCCAUGGUUCUUUGGGAAUUCCCAAACUGGGGCUCCCCAAAUCUAAGCUUCCCACUACUCUCCUGCUGAAUGAGGCUCUCCUUCAGCAGACCACACUAUGCCUAGGAGGUCCUCUUGGACAAGUCUCAAAAUGGAUCCACGUGACCUACAGGUCAUCCAUAGGGGAAAGUUACAGAGCCUUUGCUCCAUCUUUGGAUGGAGCAGUCUUUCUUCGGGCAGCCUCUGCUCCUCUAUCCCACACAGAUCACUUAAUGUUCCUAGCAGCAAGGCAAGCCCCAAGCCUAGAGUCCCCAGCUUCAAGGAACACAUCCCUACCUGUGCAGGCUGCCCUGUUACAGGAGGUCUCUCUCUCCCUCUCAUUCUCCUCUGUCACUCUCAUUUUUUGUUUUGUUUUGUUUUGAUAGAUAUGGAGUCUCACUAUGUUGCCCAGGCUGGUCUGAAACUCCUGGCCUUCAGGGAUCCUCCUGCCCUGGCCUCCCAAAAUGCUGGGAUUAAAGGCGGAAGCACUAAUUUCCAAUACCUCAGAACGUGGCUAUACUUGGAGAGAGGGCCUUUAAAGAGAUGACUGAAUUGGAAGCAGGUCAUUAGGAUGGACUUUAACCCAACGUAGAUGGUAUCAUUAUAAGAAGAGGCGAUCAGGAUUUGCAGGAGACAGUGGGGGUGUGCGUACGCCCAAGGAUGCCCAUGGGAAGAGGCAGUGAGUGAGAAGGCGGCCGCCUGCAAGCCAAGAAGAGAGGCCCCUGGAGAAGACAAACCUGCCGACACCUUCCUCUUAAACCUCCAGCCUCCAGAACUGUGAGGAAAUCAAGUUCUGCUGCUUAAGCCAUCCAGUCUGUGGUAUUCCGUUGUGGCAACCUGAGUACAUAACUUUGCUCAUUUCAUCUGUUCAUGUAAAUUUCACUAAGAGAUUUGAAAAUGUUCAUCCCUCCUUGCAUCCUAGGAUAGACAAGUUAUUUAAGACAUAUUUUUAACACAUCUUACUUAGAACUUGUACAUCUGUAUUGCCUCGUGAGGUUGGCCAAAAUUUUCUUUCUUAUAUUUUUAUCUUGUUUUGGUAUUGUAGGGUCUCAGAAAAGAAAAACCGUUCACAGCCGUAUGAGCUAUGUGAGGCUGGCAAAACAAAUCAGGCCCAGAAAGACAGGAGUCCGGCCGCGCUGCAGGUAUACCCUAGUCCCCGCACCACUCUUGUGCCCAGACAGGAGCAACUGUUUAAAGACAUUUUGUUCCUGACUGGCUGCCUCAUCUGUUAACUUGCUGCCUUAUUCAUUAUAUUCAAAUUCCUGGAAUUUGUGAUACGAAGAACAAUAUACAGCCAACCAAUAGCUUAUUUUAUUUUAAUGUAAAUUCUUGGUAAAUUACUUAGGAACUGCCUCUUCUUUUCCUUAAAAAACCUGCUUAUAACUGCUGCUGAUGGGAACCAUAUAUUCAGGGCAACUUGAAUUUAUGCUCGUGGUUUGCAGUCCUCAAAUCUCGCCCAAAUAAAUUUUCUACUCAUAUUAAGUUUGUCUCA